AUUGAACGCUGGCGGCAGGCCUAACACAUGCAAGUCGAGCGGCAGCGGGUCCUUCGGGAUGCCGGCGAGCGGCGGACGGGUGAGUAAUGCCUAGGAAUCUGCCUGGUAGUGGGGGAUAACGUUCGGAAACGGACGCUAAUACCGCAUACGUCCUACGGGAGAAAGUGGGGGAUCUUCGGACCUCACGCUAUCAGAUGAGCCUAGGUCGGAUUAGCUAGUUGGUGGGGUAAAGGCUCACCAAGGCGACGAUCCGUAACUGGUCUGAGAGGAUGAUCAGUCACACUGGAACUGACACACGGUCCAGACUCCUACGGGAGGCAGCAGUGGGGAAUAUUGGACAAUGGGCGAAAGCCUGAUCCAGCCAUGCCGCGUGUGUGAAGAAGGUCUUCGGAUUGUAAAGCACUUUAAGUUGGGAGGAAGGGCAGCUAGUUAAUACCUGGUUGUUUUGACGUUACCAACAGAAUAAGCACCGGCUAACUCCGUGCCAGCCGCCGCCGUAAAAC
rnacentral:rRNA from 1 species